UGUAAAGUGAUGAGCGCGGGUCUCGUUUUCGUGGAACGCAAGUAUUCAAGCGGAUUUUGUUGCAGGAACGACUUCUUUCAUCUAGCCGCAAUAUCAACUAAAGAUGGUUGGCGUAAUAGUGGGAGAGAUUUUUCUUACUUUUUCUCGCAACGAGCAUGAAAUUAACGGUAACAUUACCUUGAACAUAUUAAGAUUAUUGUAAGCACUGUUGUAAGCAUAACGAUAAGACAUGUCGAUGACCAUAAACGAAGGCCACGACUCGAAUUGUCAAACGUCGCUUUGCGGAAAUGCAAUCCUGCAUUCUGGCAAAGGAAAUAUCGAAAUCAGGUCAGCGUACACACUCAAGUAACGCUGACAUAUCCAAACCGUCCCCUCUUUGUGAUUGAGACAUAAGAAGAGGUUAAAAGGGUGAUACCGGCGCGACGGGCGACUCUAAAUUCUUAACUCUUGGGUACCGACACGCAGUCGGACGCGUACGACGAUAUUGUAUCGGGCGAUCAAGAAAUAAAGACAAGCUCAGUUUUUUCAA